rnacentral:rRNA from 1 species
GACGAACGCUGGCGGCGUGCUUAACACGUGCAAGUCGAACGAUGAAGAAAAGAAUCUAAGCUUCGGCAGAAAUUCAUUUCGGAUUAGUGGCAGACGGGUGAGUAACGCGUGAGCAACCUACCUCUUACAAAGGGAUAGCCUCUGGAAACCGGGAUUAAUACCAUAUAACAUUGUGACGAAGCAUUUCGAUGCAAUCAAAGCUACGGCGGUAAGAGAUGGGCUCGCGUCCCAUUAACCGGAUGGUGAGGUAACGGCUCACCAUAGUGACGAUGGGUAACCGGCGUGAGAGGGGGAAAGGUCACACUGGAACUGAGACACGGUCCAGACUCCUACGGGAGGCAGCAGUGGGGAAUAUUGCACAAUGGAGGGAACUCUGAUGCAGCGACGCCGCGUGAGUGAUGAAGGAAUUCGUUUCGUAAAACUCUGUUCUAUGGGAAGAAAAGGACUGUACCAUAGGAGAAAGCUCCGGCUAAAUACGUG